CCCCAUGCCCACAGCAGCGCUCUCCUUGCAGAGAUAACUCCCUUCGAUGCCGAGGACGACGCGUCCGAGGGGGAGCUGGAGAGCGCCCCGGAGCAGUGGUGGGUGCCUGGCCGGGAUGGGGGGAUGCGGGAGGGCAGGAGGGCGCAGGAUGAGCUGGGGGAUGCAGGAGGGCAGGAGGGACCAGGAUGAGCUCCCCAAGCGCGGCGCUCUCCCUGCAGGACAGGACAGCGGGUGCUCAGCUGGCUCUCACAGGGCUUCGAGAGGAUUCUGCCGCAGCCAGAGGGGAUGAAAAAGCCGGAGACAGAGCCGAAGGAGAAGAGUGAAGGCACGGUGGAAGGCACAGAAGGGACUAAAACCCAGGCGAAGUCGAAACCCAGCGCUGCAGGUGUUCCGAGUGCCCCAGGGGCAGCGAAGGCAGCGGCGGCCCAGGCCCGGCCGGAGCCAGGUGCUGCCCUGAGCCCUCAGCCCAUGGCUAUGGAUGGCACCAGGAUGUUCAGCUGGUUUGUCCAGGGGCUGGAGAAGGUGAUGCCACAGCCGGUGACCAGGGAGAAGCAGGACACACAGGGAGUGGCCACCGCAACCUCGAGUUCUGUGGAACAAAGGGGCAAAGGGGCUUAGCGCCUCUGAAACAAAUGGAAAACGAAGACCGUGGCAAAACCAGCCCUUCCCACACCCCAAAGAGACCAGCCUGAGGAGAAAGCACAGCUGGGGAGGAAAAGCAAAGGGGAAUCUGCAAAUGGUGUCCAGCUCCUUCCCAGCUGGGGCAGUGGGGACCCAAGGCUGGCACAGGGACCCAGCCCCAGGGCUGCCCCACUUGGCUCCCUCUUUGCUCUGGGAAUUGGAGCUGCUGCUUUUGCAGGAUGGCGUCUGUGAGAUGGGAGCUAUAAUUUACAGGAUGGUAGAAAAGCAUCACUCAGGACACCUCAGAGGCAGAAAGCCUCUUGCUGCAGUCUCCCAGCACUCCUGGCCCUCUCAAUGCCCCCACAACAUCUGAAUAUUCACCCCAAGACCCCCAGCUGAAAUCUCCAGGCUUCUUUGAGUCAACUUCUGCCUCUGGGGUGUAAUGUUAUAAACCUCUUGAAGCUCUUGUCAUGUCCUUGUUGCUUUUCUUCCAUAACUGAGUGUUUCCUCCCAGCAAGUGGAAAGGGCUCUGAUUUGCAGCAGCAAAUCAGGAGGGUGAGGUUAAUCUCCAGGUGAAUAGGUUGGAGUUAAUGGUUAAACAUAUUUGCCCAGGCUUUUCUUCUGAGAGAACUUACCCCAAACUCUCCUUACCCCCAGCUAUGGCUGCUCCCUCCUGAAGCUGAGAGCUUCAGCACUACCUGCAGCAGCAGGAAUGUCCCAGCAGGGAGGGGGUUCCAGGGGCUGUCUCCAGCCCAGAGGCUGCAGGCAGGCAUGGGGGGUGGGAGCCCCUACACCCCAGGUUUUGGAUACAGACCUUGGAGCAGCAGACUGGUUUGGGUUGUGAGUGACCUUUGAAGAUGAUCUGGUCCAGCUUCCCUGUCCAUUAGACAAGGUUGCUGCAGGCCCUGUCCAACCUGGCCUUGAACACUUGCAGGAUGGGCCAGCCACAGUACACUAUUCCUUCCUUAUGUCCAAUAUGAAUGUCCUUCUUUCAGUU
rnacentral:lncRNA from 1 species